GGCCACUCCAAGUGCAGUGGUGUUUACAGCUAAUUGAUCAUAAUCAGUUACAGAUUUAUUUGUUCCUUCUCCACUUCCACUGCUUCACUCGACAAACCUAUG
ensembl:misc_RNA Y_RNA Y RNA